GAUGAACGCUGGCGGCGUGCUUAACACAUGCAAGUCGAACGAUGGAGCCCAGCUUGCUGGGUGGAUUAGUGGCGAACGGGUGAGUAACACGUGAGUAACCUGCCCUUGACUCUGGGAUAAGCCUGGGAAACUGGGUCUAAUACUGGAUAUGACUUCUCAUCGCAUGGUGGGGGGUGGAAAGAUUUAUUGGUCUUGGAUGGACUCGCGGCCUAUCAGCUUGUUGGUGAGGUAAUGGCUCACCAAGGCGACGACGGGUAGCCGGCCUGAGAGGGUGACCGGCCACACUGGGACUGAGACACGGCCCAGACUCCUACGGGAGGCAGCAGUGGGGAAUAUUGCACAAUGGGCGCAAGCCUGAUGCAGCGACGCCGCGUGAGGGAUGACGGCCUUCGGGUUGUAAACCUCUUUCAGUAGGGAAGAAGCGAGAGUGACGGUACCUGCAGAAGAAGCGCCGGCUAACUACGUG
rnacentral:rRNA from 1 species